rnacentral:rRNA from 1 species
CCGCAUGGUCUGGUGGUGGAAAGAUUUUUUGGUUGGGGAUGGACUCGCGGCCUAUCAGCUUGUUGGUGAGGUAAUGGCUCACCAAGGCGACGACGGGUAGCCGGCCUGAGAGGGUGACCGGCCACACUGGGACUGAGACACGGCCCAGACUCCUACGGGAGGCAGCAGUGGGGAAUAUUGCACAAUGGGCGAAAGCCUGAUGCAGCAACGCCGCGUGAGGGAUGACGGCCUUCGGGUUGUAAACCUCUUUUAGUAGGGAAAAGCGUAAGUGACGGUACCUGCAGAAAAAGCACCGGCUAACUACGUGCCAGCAGCCGCGGUAAUACGUAGGGUGCAAGCGUUGUCCGGAAUUAUUGGGCGUAAAGAGCUCGUAGGCGGUUUGUCGCGUCUGCUGUGAAAUCCCGAGGCUCAACCUCGGGCUUGCAGUGGGUACGGGCAGACUAGAGUGCGGUAGGGGAGAUUGGAAUUCCUGGUGUAGCGGUGGAAUGCGCAGAUAUCAGGAGGAACACCGAUGGCGAAGGCAGAUCUCUGGGCCGUAACUGACGCUGAGGAGCGAAAGCGUGGGGAGCGAACAGGAUUAGAUACCCUGGUAGUCCACGCCGUAAACGUUGGGCGCUAGAUGUAGGGACC